GUGCAAGCAAACUUCGCGAAGGGCGAAUGCAAAUAAAUACAGAAUAUGAAAUAAAAGAUAUAUAAACACAAAGAUCUUCUUACAAUUUCGUUAACCUACUGGCGGCGGCAAUCUACAUACUUUUGCUAAUCUUGUCUAUCGAAGGAAUUCGAAGAACGGAAGAAGUAUGAAAAUUGACAAUUUAAAAAGAUGAAUCACAAUCAAAAAUUGGCUAUUUUAUAUGAUAGAUCUCUAAAAGUCCAUUUAAUAUUGACAGGAAUGCUUUGCUACAUAAAUUAUAGCCUAUAAUGGACUCAUUAUUGGAUAAAAAAGACGACAAUUUUAAUUAUUUUAAAGAACCUGACUGGCAAGGCUAUGCAGUAUGCAUUAAGUGUAUAAAUUGUAUGUAUAUUUUAUUAUUAAAACCUAAUACAGUUCUUAAAUUUUUAAAUUGAUUUUGUCUGUCCUUAUUUUUUUAUCAGCAUCAUUGAUGCUGAUUUUUGAAAAUACCACUUCUAAAGCACAUGUCUAUGUUAUAUUAUAUUGUGGAAUUUUUCAAUUUGACAUGCAUGUAGAAAUUUUAAAUAUAUAAUUCAUCUAAUUAUGAUGUACAG